UCCCAGCGAUGGACUAGUCCUUCGCGAGCAAGCCCUGCGUCGCCCCGGCGUUGAUGUCGUUCCGAUCGGCGGCGAGGGAGGAGCCUUCGUUCCCGCAGUUCUCCGCCUUCGACGGCACCAAGAACACAGCCCCUCGUAUGCUCACGCACCAGAGAUCGUUCGGCCCCGACAGCACGCAGUACGCUGCGCUGCACCGCGCGCAGAACGGGGCUAGAGUCGUUCCGGUCUCGUCGCCGUUCAGCCAGAGCAACCCGAUGUUCAGGGUCCAGAGCUCGCCCAGCCUUCCGAACAGUACCGCGUUCAAGCAGCCGCCUUUCGCCAUCAGCAACGCCGUGGCCAGUUCGACUGUGGGUUCCUAUGGCGGAACAAGGGAUGCGGUGAGGCCAAGGACGGCACAACUGACGAUCUUCUACUCCGGUUCUGUCAAUGUGUUCAACAACGUCUCAGCUGAGAAGGCUCAGGAGCUCAUGUUCUUAGCCAGCAGAGGAUCUGUUCGCUGCUCGCCUCGGCGGAUUACGACGGGCUCGUCGGGUCGCCAGCCUCUCUACGGUCGGCGAGGGGAAAGACGCUCGUGCCGUCCAAUCUUGACGAUCCGUUCUCGGCGGAGAUGGCGGGCGCCGCGGCAUCUCACUCUCCUCGGUACGCAGACCAGGGCGGCUCUGCUUUCUCGCCGACGUGGUUACAGCAGGGACCCGUGCGGUUAGUCGGAGCUCUGGCUGAACGGCGAUGCGCAGCGGUAACAGAGCUCGGGAGUGGCGCCAACGUGGUUACAACAGGGACAAAAUUGACUUU